UUUAUAUUAUUAUAUUUUACUUGUACAAUUUACUAUCGAUUCUUUAUCAAUCUUAUGUAAAUAUUGUAUAUUUAUAUAGUUUAAUUGAUAUAUUACAUUUGAAAUGAAUUUGAACACAUUAUGACAUUAUUUAAAGCAUUUCCUCUAUGAAAUGUAAUUCCUAUUGUUUGCAACAGAAUUGGUGAGUAGCAUUUUACAUUCCAAUGUGUUUUUGUAUAUAUAUAUAUAUAUCAUAUAAUCUUAUUGUUGUUAAAUUAUGUUUUAUUUAUAAGUUAUCGGGAUGGUGAAUAUAGAAUUGACGUUUUCAUUUUAAUUAAUGAUUACAUGAUUAUUUUUAUGUUUUGAAAACUUUAAAUAAAGACAAAAUGAUGAAACUGAUUAAAUUGUGCGCAAAAUAAGAAUGUCUAAAUUGCUUAGUCAUAUGUGAUAUGACGCCGGUAGAUUCUUAUUAAUCUUUUUAGGGUUUUUCACGAUUAUAGUAUUUGUUUUAUCUAAACUCAAUAAUUUUUCUUUGAUGUUUUUUCCAUAAAUUUCUCCCUCAUUCUACUGGAGGACUUGUCGUCACAAUGAGAUGGACCUGUCCACUUACGUAUGUUUGGCUGCUGAACCAGACCCCAACCAAGCAUGAUUAAGAGGAGGAUCAAUGUUGAUCAGUAGAAUGGAGCAGAACAUUUGCCAAAUAUUCGACUAAAUUGCAGGGAUCUUCAAAAGAAAGUAUGCUAUUUUGUUUCAGAUUCCUUCGGUGUGAUUUGCAAGUUGAACUGUUCACAUCACAAGAGUCAUCAAUUUCCUGUUGACUUUAAGCUACAAAAAGGAAAUACUGCUUACCUAAGGUGUCGACCAUGUUGUUCGGCAUAUUAAUUAAUACUGUAAUAAUAUUGAAUGCAUUUUACAAACAUUCUUGGCGGCGUGUCAGUAGACCGAAACAAAUUAUCUGUUCAUCCGUAGCGUAAAUUGUUGAACAUUUGUCGUUAAGGGGCAAAUACAUUUCAACAUUGAAUCCAUUGUAAUUGAUGCAAAUUGAUAUUUUUUUCAUAACACUAACGAUGUUUUGAAUAGAUUAUGUUGAAAAUAUUAUUUCUUUCUUUGAAAAAAUGUGUAUGUAGCUCCAAAUUUUAUUAUUCCAGAAACAAUCAGCACAAUUCAUACAUUAUAAUUUGCAAUGUAAACAAUUAAAAUCAAUUAAGUC